UACGGGGGGAGCAAGCGUUGUUCGGAUUUACUGGGCGUAAAGAGCGCGCAGGCGGCUGGUCAAGUCCGAUGUGAAAGCUCCCGGCUUAACUGGGAAAUUGCAUCGGAAACUGAUCGGCUGGAAGGUGGGAGAGGGUAGCGGAAUUCCCGGUGUAGUGGUGAAAUGCGUAGAUAUCGGGAGGAACACCAGUGGCGAAAGCGGCUACCUGGCCCAUUCUUGACGCUGAGGCGCGAAAGCUAGGGGAGCAAACAGG
rnacentral:rRNA from 1 species